rnacentral:rRNA from 1 species
CUAUAAUGCAGUCGAGCGAACGGACGAGAGUGCUUGCACUCUCUGAUGUUAGCGGCGGACGGGUGAGUAACACGUGGGUAACCUACCUAUAAGACUGGGAUAACUUCGGGAAACCGGAGCUAAUACCGGAUAAUAUUUAGCUUCGCAUGAAGCAAUAGUGAAAGACGGUUCUGCUGUCACUUAUAGAUGGACCCGCGGUGUAUUAGCUAGUUGGUGAGGUAACGGCUCACCAAGGCAACGAUACAUAGCCGACCUGAGAGGGUGAUCGGCCACACUGGGACUGAGACACGGCCCAGACUCCUACGGGAGGCAGCAGUAGGGAAUCUUCCGCAAUGGACGAAAGUCUGACGGAGCAACGCCGCGUGAGUGAAGAAGGUUUUCGGAUCGUAAAACUCUGUUGUAAGGGAAGAACAAGUACGUUAGUAACUGAACGUACCUUGACGGUACCUUACCAGAAAGCCACGGCUAACUACGUGCCAGCAGCCGCGGUAAUACGUAGGUGGCAAGCGUUAUCCGGAAUUAUUGGGCGUAAAGCGCGCGUAGGCGGUCUCUUAAGUCUGAUGUGAAAGCCCCCGGCUCAACCGGGGAGGGUCAUUGGAAACUGGGAGACUUGAGUGCAGAAGAGGAGAGUGGAAUUCCAUGUGUAGCGGUGAAAUGCGCAGAGAUAUGGAGGAACACCAGUGGCGAAGGCGGCUCUCUGGUCUGUAACUGACGCUGAGGUGCGAAAGCGUGGGGAUCAAACAGGAUUAGAUACCCUGGUAGUCCACGCCGUAAACGAUGAGUGCUAAGUGUUGGGGGGUUUCCGCCCCUCAGUGCUGCAGCUAACGCAUUAAGCACUCCGCCUGGGGAGUACGGUCGCAAGACU